rnacentral:rRNA from 1 species
CAGUCGAACGGGAAAUAUUUCAUUGAGACUUCGGUGGAUUUGAUCUAUUUCUACUGGUGGACGGGUGAGUAACGCGUGGGUAACCUGCCUUAUACAGGGGGAUAACAGUCAGAAAUGGCUGCUAAUACCGCAUAAGCGCACAGAGCUGCAUGGCUCAGUGUGAAAAACUCCGGUGGUAUAAGAUGGACCCGCGUUGGAUUAGCUUGUUGGUGGGGUAACGGCCCACCAAGGCGACGAUCCAUAGCCGGCCUGAGAGGGUGGACGGCCACAUUGGGACUGAGACACGGCCCAGACUCCUACGGGAGGCAGCAGUGGGGAAUAUUGCACAAUGGGGGAAGCCCUGAUGCAGCGACGCCGCGUGAAGGAAGAAGUAUCUCGGUAUGUAAACUUCUAUCAGCAGGGAAGAUAGUGACGGUACCUGACUAAGAAGCCCCGGCUAACUACGUGCCAGCAGCCGCGGUAAUACGUAGGGGGCAAGCGUUAUCCGGAUUUACUGGGUGUAAAGGGAGCGUAGACGGUGUGGCAAGUCUGAUGUGAAAGGCAUGGGCUCAACCUGUGGACUGCAUUGGAAACUGUCAUACUUGAGUGCCGGAGGGGUAAGCGGAAUUCCUAGUGUAGCGGUGAAAUGCGUAGAUAUUAGGAGGAACACCAGUGGCGAAGGCGGCUUACUGGACGGUAACUGACGUUGAGGCUCGAAAGCGUGGGGAGCAAACAGGA